CUGCAUGCAGGUUGGCGAUGUUUUCUGUAAGCCAUCCCUGGCAGUUCAUGUGGGUAGAGGCUGGAAACCUUUGUGAUGCAUGGCAGCACCACACAGAGGGAAUAGAGAUAUGGGAAGAACACACCAGCAAUUCUCCUGGAAUGAAACACUUCAAGUACAUAGCCUUCUGGCAUGGCUGGCUUUCUCACAGAAGUAAGAAUGUGCUGUUGGCAUGGGGGCUGGAACCGCGGAGUGAAGGUGUGAUCACAAG
rnacentral:lncRNA from 1 species